AGAAUCAACGCUGGCGGCGUGCCUAACACAUGCAAGUCGAACGAGAAAGUGGAGCAAUCCAUGAGUAAAGUGGCGACCGGGUGAGUAACACGUGACUAACCUACCUUCGAGUGGGGGAUAACCUCGGGAAACCGGGGCUAAUACCGCAUAACAUCUUUGAAGUGGAAAUUUCGGAGAUCAAAGGAGCAAUUCGCUUGAAGAGGGGGUCGCGGCUGAUUAGCUAGUUGGCGGGGUAACGCCCACCAAGGCUUAGAUCGGUAGCCGGCCUGAGAGGGCGCACGGCCACACUGGAACUGAAACACGGUCCAGACUCCUACGGGAGGCAGCAGUGGGAAUUUUGCGCAAUGGGGGAAACCCUGACGCAGCAACGCCGCGUGGAGGAUGAAGUCCCUUGGGACGUAAACUCCUUUCGACCCGGACGAUAAUGACGGUACGGGUGGAAGACGCCCGGCUAACUUCGCGCCAGCAGCCGC
rnacentral:rRNA from 1 species